UACAGAGGUCCCAAGCGUUGUUCGGAUUCACUGGGCGUAAAGGGUGCGUAGGCGGUCGGGUAAGUCUGAUGUGAAAUCUCACAGCUUAACUGUGAAACUGCAUUGGAUACUAUCCGGCUAGAGGAAUGGAGGGGAGACUGGAAUACUUGGUGUAGCAGUGAAAUGCGUAGAUAUCAAGUGGAACACCAGUGGCGAAGGCGGUUCUCUGGGCAUUACCUGACGCUGAGGAGCGAAAGUGUGGGGAGCGAACAGG
rnacentral:rRNA from 1 species